GAUUAACGCUGGCGGCGUGCCUAACACAUGCAAGUCGAACGAGGUAGCAAUACCUAGUGGCAGACGGGUGAGUAACGCGUGGUCAACCUACCGUUGAGUGGGGGAUAACUAGCCGAAAGGUUAGCUAAUACCGCAUACGUCUCCGAGGGGCAUCCCUUGGCGAUAAAAGGAGCAAUCCGCUCGAUGACGGGACCGCGUCCCAUUAGCUAGAUGGUGGGGUAACGGCCUACCAUGGCACCGAUGGGUAGCUGGUUUUGAGAGAGCGACCAGCCACACUGGGGACUGAGAAACGGCCCAGACUCCUACGGGAGGCAGCAGUGAGGAAUUUUCCGCAAUGGGCGCAAGCCUGACGGAGCGACGCCGCGUGUGGGAAGAAGGCCUUC
rnacentral:rRNA from 1 species